rnacentral:tmRNA from 1 species
GGGGCUGAUCGGUUUCGACUUGGGACGUUUGUUCCAGGGGAAGCGGGUCGAGAAGCCAGCGUCAUCUCGUAAACGAUCGCUGGAAACCAAUAACUGCCGACUCCAAGCGCAGUUCCUUCGCUCUCGCUGCCUGAGCAGUGAUCGAAGCGUCUGACCGGGCAUCCGUCUCCGUCCCGGACCCAGGCGUCGACUAGGAGACUUGCUGUGUCGCUCUCGCCGGGAGGGUGACACGGGACUCAAACCCGGCUGGGCCUGUCGGCGACGUGUCAGUGAGAGCGCCGGGGCCGAGUAAAGCGAACACCCACUGACUGCACCCGGAGAAGACCUGGACCGGCGCUCGAGGACCGGGGUUCGAUUCCCCGCAGCUCCACGA